GUGCCAGCCGCCGCGGUAAUACAGGGGGUGCAAGCGUUAUUCGGAAUUAUUGGGCGUAAAGAGCGUGUAGGCGGCCAAGCAAGUUUGGUGUGAAAGCCCCGGGCUUAAUCCGGGAAGUGCAUUGAAUACUGCUAGGCUAGAGUAUAGGAGAGGAUGGCGGAAUUCCUGGUGUAGAGGUGAAAUUCGUAGAUAUCAGGAGGAACAACAGAGGCGAAGGCGGCCAUCUGGACUAUUACUGACGCUAAGGCGCGAAAGUGUGGGGAGCAAACAGGAUUAGAAACCCUUGUAGUCC
rnacentral:rRNA from 1 species